rnacentral:rRNA from 1 species
CCGCGGUAAUACGGAGGGUGCAAACGUUGCUCGGAAUCAUUGGGCGUAAAGCGCGCGUAGGCGGCUUGGCAAGUUGAAUGUGAAAGCCCCGGGCUCAACCCGGGAAGUGCAUCCAAAACUGCCUGGCUUGAAUCUCGGAGGGGGUCAGGGAAUUCCCGGUGUAGAGGUGAAAUUCGUAGAUAUCGGGAGGAACACCAGUGGCGAAGGCGCUGACCUGGACGAUGAUUGACGCUGAGGCGCGAAAGCGUGGGGAGCAAACAGG